GUCGCCAAUGCUCAGUCAGGUUUUCAGACAUGGCUGGGUGGAUUCCGGGGGAUUGUGAGGGCUUUCCGGGGUAGCGGGACACUGGGCGAGAAAACGGGAGCGUCGGUGUCUUCUGAGACUGGCCCAGCGCUCCAAGCCUGGAUUCCACCUGCGCUGUCUGCAUGCAGCGCGCUGUAUAACUUUGCCUCAGUCUACCCUCUGAGAUCCCGGCAGCGCUGUCAUGGCAACUACACAGCAAAUCCCUCCUGUCAAAAUGAAUGGCGUCUCCUGCCCUUCACGGCCUCCGCCGCCAUUUCCACAGAUUCCCACAUGCUAAGUACUGUACAAACAGAAUUUCCCUCCAGAAUCAAACAUGAGUGCAGCCAUGUUUGGAUUCAUUACAUGUCACUCUACAGCCUAUCCGCUGCGCUUUGGACUCUGCCUGAUUGCCCAUCCAAUACCUGCUUUCCAUCUGUUAUAAAUAUCCUGCAUCAAGGCUGCCUAAUCGUCAGUGCUUUGGUUGUCUAACCCAGUGAUACAUGUCUUUACUGUUUGUGGAUGUUCCACCUUGUGCUUCCAGGUAUUCCAGCUCCUGUGACCUUGCUCUACUUAAAGAGACCCCGCACCAGAUACCAUUCUGCGGUGCUGCCUGACUCCAGCAGUGUUCCUGCAUUGUGUCCUGUGAUCUGCCGUGAUCCAUCAUCGGCUUUCAGCGUUGUUCCAGAAUCACUUCCAGCUUUCAGCGGUGUUCCAGCAUCACUCCCAGCUCUCAUUGCUUACCAACAUCGCUCUCCGUGAUCCACAGUGGCUUCAUCACCGGCUUCCAGCAUUGCUCCAGUAUUGCUUCCAGCUUCCAGCGGAGUUCCCGAGUCACUUCCAGCUCUCAGCAGUGUUCUGUAUCACUUCCAGUAUCGCUCUCCAUCUCCUGCGGUGUUCCAGCAUUGAUCCGCUUUCAUUUACCACACAACAUCGAACCACAGUUCACCAUCGAUACUCACCGUCGGACUCUAACUUCAGCGGUGAGUUCAACACCUUUCCGUCUGCACCGGUUCCAUCCGGCAUCCCCGGCAGUUCUUCCAAGUUUCCCUUCAACCUCUGUGCACUUGUGUUAACCCCAGCUUCCAGAGUGUCAUCUGCUUGGCAGUACCAGCUCGUUCCCUGAUACAGUGGUUAGCUGUGGCCUACGGAUUUACCAACUCUGGGUCUUGCAAAGACUUUGUCUCAUCUCAUCCUGCAUAGCCACAGCACUCAUUACCACUGCGUCCCAGGAACUAUACUGUUAUCUUACCCUGCACAUCUACUGUUGAAGUUAUCUGAAUUACCAAGGUGUCUAACUAUGGCCCUCAUUCCGAGUUGUUCGCUCGGUAUUUUUCAUCGCAUCGCAGUGAAAAUCCGCCUAGUACGCAUGCGCAAUGUUCGCACUGCGACUGCGCCAAGUAACUUUACUAUGAAGAAAGUAUUUUUACUCACGGCUUUUUCUUCGCUCCGGCGAUCGUAAUGUGAUUGACAGGAAAUGGGUGUUACUGGGCGGAAACACGGCGUUUCAGGGGCGUGUGGCUGAAAACGCUACCGUUUCCGGGAAAAACGCAGGAGUGGCCGGAGAAACGGUGGGAGUGCCUGGGCGAACGCUGGGUGUGUUUGUGACGUCAACCAGGAACGACAAGCACUGAAAUGAUCGCACAGGCAGAGUAAGUCUGGAGCUACUCUGAAACUGCUAAGUAGUUAGUAAUCGCAUUAUUGCGAAUACAUCGGUCGCAAUUUUAAGAAGCUAAGAUUCACUCCCAGUAGGCGGCGGCUUAGCGUGUGUAACUCUGCUAAAUUCGCCUUGCGACCGAUCAACUCGGAAUGAGGGCCUAUGUGUUUAAUAAACAGACUUUGUUUUACAUAAUCUGUUGUUGUGGUCACGCCUUCGGGCAAACAGUGCUUAGACCUUCUGUAUGUCCAAGAACCCCAUUCAACCUCCACGGUUCACAUACACGCCAGCCCCUAUGUCUGAGGCUUCCCCAGGUCAGCCUCAGCCCUCAUUGGUGACAAUAUAUAUAUAUAUAUAUAUAUAUAUAUAUUCAUUUUAGGCUUACAAAGCUAGUUUUAAUUUUCCACAUUGAUCCUAUGGCCUCACCCGAUGGGUGAAGCACAUGGAAGCUAUGUUGUUUUAGAAGAUACCUACCCCUGAAGAAGUCAGUUUGGACAAAACGCGUAGGGGUUUAUCAAAAUUCUCACUCAUCACCCAACUGUAAUAGUGAGGGUGGUCUAAUUUAUCAACCAUCCUCUGACAUUGGAUUGUGAGCAUGUGAUCUUAUUGUUAAUUUUAUAAUUGUUCUAUAGGAAUUGUGCUUUGUCAUUUACCUCUGAAACGGUAAAAUAAAUCGUCUGGUAUCUUA